ACCGUGCUUGCACGGUCUGAUUAGUGGCGAACGGGUGAGUAACACGUGAGUAACCUGCCCCCCACUCUGGGAUAACCUCGGGAAAUCGGGGCUAAUACCGGAUAUGAGCUCCUGCCGCAUGGUGGGUGCUGGAAAGUUUUUCGGUGGGGGAUGGACUCGCGGCCUAUCAGUUUGUUGGUGAGGUAAUGGCUCACCAAGGCGAUGACGGGUAGCCGGCCUGAGAGGGCGACCGGCCACACUGGGACUGAGACACGGCCCAGACUCCUACGGGAGGCAGCAGUGGGGAAUAUUGCACAAUGGGCGAAAGCCUGAUGCAGCGACGCCGCGUGGGGGAUGACGGCCUUCGGGUUGUAAACCUCUUUCAGUAGGGAAGAAGCGAAAGUGACGGUACCUGCAGAAGAAGCGCCGGCUAACUACGUGCCAGCAGCCGCGGUAAUACGUAGGGCGCAAGCGUUGUCCGGAAUUAUUGGGCGUAAAGAGCUUGUAGGUGGCUUGUCGCGUCUGCCGUGAAAACCCGAGGCUCAACCUCGGGCGUGCGGUGGGUACGGGCAGGCUAGAGUGUGGUAGGGGAGACUGGAACUCCUGGUGUAGCGGUGAAAUGCGCAGAUAUCAGGAAGAACACCGAUGGCGAAGGCAGGUCUCUGGGCCAUUACUGACACUGAGAAGCGAAAGCAUGGGGAGCGAACAGGAUUAGAUACCC
rnacentral:rRNA from 1 species